rnacentral:rRNA from 1 species
UACGUAGGGCGCAAGCGUUGUCCGGAAUUAUUGGGCGUAAAGAGCUCAUAGGCGGUCUGUCGCGUCCGCUGUGAAAACUCGAGGCUCAACUUCGAGCUGUCGGUGGAAACUUUCUGGCUAGAGUCCGGAAGAGGAGAAUGGAAUUCCUGGUGUAGCGGUGAAAUGCGCAGAUAUCAGGAAGAACACCCGUGGCGAAGGCGGUUCUCUGGGACGGUACUGACGCUGAGACGCGAAAGCGUGGGGAGCGAACAGG